AUACCUUUCUCGGCCUUUUGGCUAAGAUCAAGUGUAGUAUCUGUUCUUAUCAGUUUAAUAUCUGAUAUGUGGGCCAUGUGUCCACUUCGAUAUUAAAUUAAUUUUUUGUGGGGAAAGGUCCACUACAGUGGCUUGCAUUGGGUCCCUUAUGUGUCGCUCUAGCGUUGCACUAUUGCUUGAGCCUGGCGCACCCCAAC
rnacentral:snRNA from 1 species